GACGAACGCUGGCGGCGUGCCUAAUACAUGCAAGUCGAGCGGACGAAUCGAAAGCUUGCUUUUGAUUCGUUAGCGGCGGACGGGUGAGUAACACGUGGGCAACCUGCCCUGUAGACGGGGAUAACACCGAGAAAUCGGUGCUAAUACCGGAUAACACGAAAUGUCGCAUGACGUUUCGUUGAAAGACGGCGCAAGCUGCCGCUACAGGAUGGGCCCGCGUCGCAUUAGCUAGUUGGUGAGGUAACGGCUCACCAAGGCGACGAUACGUAGCCGACCUGAGAGGGUGAUCGGCCACACUGGGACUGAGACACGGCCCAGACUCCUACGGGAGGCAGCAGUAGGGAAUCUUCAGCAAUGGACGAAAGUCUGACGGAGCGACGCCGCGUGAGCGAAGAAGGCCUUCGGGUCGUAAAGCUCUGUUGUUAGGGAAGAACAAGUAACGCAGUAACUGGCGUUACCGUGACGGUACCUAACGAGAAAGCCACGGCUAACUACGUG
rnacentral:rRNA from 1 species